AAGCGCUUGCAAUCAGACUUGCAUGCAGUUGAUCAUCCGAUGUUCUCACCGGUGCACUCAAUUGCGUUCAGGCCAGCAUUGGUUUUGGUGGUUGGAUAAAGGCCUAGGGAAUGUGGCUCUCUUCGGGGAGUGUUAUAGCCCUAGGUGCAAUGCAGCCCACUGAGACCGAGGACCGCGCUUCGGCUAGGAUGCUGGCGUAAUGGUUGUAAGCGA
rnacentral:rRNA from 1 species